CACGGGGGUUGCGAGCGUUGUCCGGAAUUACUAGGCGUAAAGGGCAGGCAGGCGGAUCCAUAAGUUUAUCGUUUAAGGCGUCGGCUUAACCGGCGUAGGGCGGUAGAUACUGUGGAUCUGGAAUGCGGUUGGGGAAGACAGAAUCCCUGGUGUAGCGGUGGAAUGCGCAGAGAUCAGGAGGAAUACCGAAGGCGAAGGCAGUCUUCCAAGCCGUUAUUGACGCUCAACUGCGAAGGUGUGGGUAUCAAACAGGAUUAGAUACCCUGGUAGCCCCUGA
rnacentral:rRNA from 1 species